AAAAAGGCAAACCAUGGGUUUCCGUGUCCAAUUUUUACUGUCCGUCUUAUAUGAAAUUUUUUUAUAAUUCGUAUUUUUAUUGUUGUUAGAUGAUAAAACAUGAUUAAUAUUUUAUACGUGACUUGUCUUUUUAAUUUUUUUUAUAAUUUUUUAAAUAAGACGUACGGUCAAACGUUGGACACGGAAAUCAGGGUUUGUCUUUUU
rnacentral:pre_miRNA from 1 species